CAGGCGGAUUCUUAACUACCAGACCACCGGGGAAGCACCUACAGACCACUUUUAAACACACUGUCUUGCUUGGUUUCGCAGCUGCUCUGUAGUGAUGCUGUAGACACUUUCUUCAUAGAAGAAACCGAGGCUCAGAGGAAUCGCUCACUCAUGGCACCCGGUUACUGCGUCGCAGAUCUUGUGCUUCCACCUGGAUCCUCUGGCUCCUCUCCUGGUGACUGUAGUGGGGAACAGGUUAGGAACGUGUAGGAGGUUUUGUUCCAGAUGCUGGUGCUGGGCAGAAAGCUGGGAGCUGGCCCCAGAGACCCUGAGAGUCACUGGCAGUCAUUGACGAUGGAAGCUUUCUCAUCUCUCUGGAAAAUGCUCCUAUUUGCACAGGGGUGGAGACUGUAGAGGAUAAUUAGAGAAGUAAAGAUCAGACAACCACAAACACUGGAGGGAAAUGUGCAUGCCAGCUGGCGGGCGAGCAGUCCCAUUUUGGAAGUAAUUGGGUAGCAAUGAGAUGUUCAGAGCAAGAGCCUGCUGAGCAUCCUGUGAUGGGCGGGUGGGGGAAUGUUUUCUUGAUAUCAAAGGGGAUCUGCUUCUCUCUGCAGACUCCCUCCCAAAGGCGAGCCCAGCACUUCUGAAGCUUGGCACGAUUCUCUCCUUCCGCUUUUCCUCUCCAGUCACUACUUGGCCGACUUCUUUCCAGUUUCUUUCUCUGAAUCCCCCACUGAUCCUGAUGUAGACACUUUGUGGAGGCUGUAUAUGCCUAUAUCACUUGGAGACUGUGGGGGAGAAACAGACUUUAAACUGAUUAUGAGUUUGCACCUUCCUAACAGCAAAGGGCGGCAGAGGAUGAGAUGGUUGGAUGGCAUCACUGAUUCAAUGAGUUUGAGCANNCUCUGGGAGACAGUGAAGGACAGGGAAGCCUGGCAUGCUGCAGUCCAUAGAUGUCAUGGAGAGUCAGACAGAGCUUGGCCCCUCACAAAAACAAACAGCAAGUGAAGAGCGCAUGCCAACUGUCAGGAAUUCCAGCAGAGAACCUGCACUUCUUCACACGGGGGCUGGCAGAGACUUUGUAAAACCUCAGCAGCUCCAGACCACCCCUGCUCUAGAAGCGCCUGCUUUCCGAAGGGCCACGUGUGCCUCUGUGCACACCCACCCUGAAUUACGCGUAUGCAUUAUGCUCAGUGACUUUUGAUCACUCUCUCUCACUUUUUCCACGCUUGAGAACUCAGAUCUAAGCCACUCUUGCCUCUACCACACCUGUGAAGAUAGCCCGAAGUCUGAAGGAUCUAACAGUCCAAGAACUGGCAAACUAUGGCCUGAUGUCUAUUUUUGUAAAUAAAGCUUUACUGGGACACAGUCAAGCUCACUCAUUCUGCGUUGUUUGCGGCCGAGUUAUGUACUACAGUGGCAGAGGUGAGUGACUGUGAUGGAGACAGUAAGGUCUUCGAAGCCUAAAAUACUUAGCUUCUGGCCCUUUACAGAAGAAGUUUGCAGAACUCUGACUGUCUAUGUUCUCCAGCUGUUUCAGUGACAAUUGCAAAGUAAAGUUG
rnacentral:lncRNA from 1 species